rnacentral:lncRNA from 1 species
UGAACACCUGAACUGGAAAGCCCAAAAUCACAUUUCUGACAACACAGAAGCUUCUGUGAAGAUUCAGAUACUCAGAGACAAUGAAGCUGCAGUUCCUGGCUUGUGUGGUCUUCUUCUGCCUCCUGGCACUGGAGAACUCCAGGGCAAAUCUAGCUAAGGACAGUAAAGAAGAUGUAGACAAUGAUCCACAUAAUCAUGAUGAUGAUGGUGGUGACAAUGACAAUGAUGACAACAAUGAUAAAAAUGACGGCAAAGAUGAUGAUGAUCGCAGUGCUGCAACUGAUAAUGAUGAUGGUGAUGAUGAUGAUGAUCACAGGGAUAAGUGAGAUGAAGAUAAACAGGGAGGGGCACUGAGCAGGAAGAUCAGCAGGAAGAUGCUUGGAGAAUGAUGACCAACCAAUCCUUGGAAACCUGGAUUUCAUAACAGAAAAGGGAUAUUCUCUACCAGAAUUCAAAUGCUUGUUUAGCUUAUUUAUGCAUUGUUGUUGCUCUGUGAUUUGGUACAUGAGGGAUACUUCAUGGUCACUGAAUUAAACAGUUGCAUCUACCGAUCAUCUGAUUAAACCUGAUAGCAAAAAGUUAUGCAAAGGGA